rnacentral:rRNA from 1 species
AUGCGCGCCUCCCGCGCUAGGAGCCACCGGUCCUCGUCAUCUGCUAGCAUCCACGAGGAAUCGAUCCAUAUAAUGUUUGAGGAGAGCUCGGUUAGUGUCAACACCUCAAGGGUUUAUGCAUAUCAGUUCCUUCUGCUUAAAGCCAUUGUAAUGAUGGCUACUGGUUCCAGUUGUUUGUGUUGCCGUGUUCAAGCUCGUGCUACAGCAGCAACCCAGCAGCAAAACUCUGAGCUCAGCCAGCAGGUCAACGAAUUACACGAUCAACUACAAGCUGAACGUGCAAACACACAAGAGAGGAUUAACUUGGAGCGUGUUGAGAGAGAACAACUUCAGGAGAGGUGCCAACGAAGAGGAUUGACAAAGAAGAUAGUAGUCCAAACUUGCAAAAUACUUUUUUUCAGAUAUCUAGUCCUAAUAAGACUCCAGGUGCAAGGCUAA